CCUUGCGCCUGAGCUUCCAUUUUUUUUCCUCCCCUCCACCAAGGCUCCUCUUCCCCUUGACAGCGCCUUGCUCCGGGGGAGCCUCGCUGCGCGUCUCCGCCAGCAGACGGCCACGCCGCAACUGUUGCUCCGGCGAUUUACCCGCCGCUACCGGCUGGCGCUCGCUCUCCGCACUGCCUGCCUGCGCCCGCCUCCUUCGUUCUCCCGAGGCCGGGAAGACGCUUCAAUAUUAUAGCGCCACCUGCCGGCCUCGUUCCCGCUCUGCACUUAAAAGCGUUCUCAUCCCUCGGCUUUACCUUUUCCCGCCUUGAGCCUUGUCCUGGGCGGGGUGUUUAUAGAGUGCUAAUACGGUGGGCAAAUGCUCGCGUGUGUGUGGUGAGAGGGAGACAGACUUAAAACUGUAGACGAAGUACGCCUUCGUAUGCCUCCGGCGCAGCUUCUCACCGUACAGGUCCCCGCGCUGAAACUGGUUUGCAAAUCAUCGUGAAUGAUGGAGUCUAAGGUGACAAUUCUGAAGCGUUUUGCGUGAAGGUGGUUUGUAGGAUUGCCGGCGUUGUGAUGGCUGAGGACGGAAGGCAGAUGAAGAAGAUGCGGCUUGAGAGGAUCUGGGUUGACCCUGAAAUUUAAAAGGAUGGAAAGAUUGUGAAGAUUGUGACUAUUGUGAAGACUGGAAGUACUGGGACUCAUCAGCAGAUGGCACAUGUCGAUCAUCAUUGUCAGCGGCCGAAGAAUCAGCAGAGAAAGCUUCCUCCCUUUCUGAUGUCGAAGUGUUUGCAGUUGUUUGGCUGAUGGGAUUCAACAAGGCGAAAAAGACAAUAAUCGUGACCAUCUUGAAAGGGCAAUUUAUGGGAACAGACGAUACAGCGACUGAAGGGACCAGAUCAGGACAUAAGCGGAUUCAUGCAUGCUGAGCACUACAAAGAAAGCACUUAUAAUAACAGUAAAUUAAAAGAAAAGAAAACACCAGAGAGCCAUUUUGGCUGUUCUAUGCAAGAUCUAUCACCAAAGAAGGACAUU